rnacentral:rRNA from 1 species
UACGUAGGGGGCUAGCGUUGUCCGGAUUUAUUGGGCGUAAAGAGCGUGUAGGCGGCCAGGUAGGUCUGCUGUGAAAACUCGAGGCUCAACCUCGAGACGUGGCGGCGAAACCAUCUGGCUAGAGUCCGGAAGAGGAGAGUGGAAUUCCCGGCGUAGUGGUGAUAUGACGUAGAUAUCAGGAGGAACACCGGUGGCGAAGGCGGGCUCUGGGCCGAUACUGACGCUGAGGAGCGAAAGCGUGGGGAGCGAACAGG